UGGGAUGGCAAGGAAGCUAGGUGCGAGGCUUGAGGUUGUGGGUUCGAAUCCCACGAACCGCGUACGCGCAUAUUUCGCGUGAAAAUUGUGUGUGGGAGGCCUCCUUCGGACCCCUGGAAAUUUAUUUAUUUUUCAAAUUUUUUUUGCAAAACCAUUUAUCCUGGUUGGUAUUACUAACCGGGAUAAAAGGAGUCCUGUACCGCACCUGACGUGACAGCCCAUUUAGUCCCAAC
rnacentral:lncRNA from 1 species